rnacentral:lncRNA from 1 species
AGCACUUCGCAUAUUGUUCAGAUAAUCGCUUCCGUCCAACAGGAAAAACCGGUUAUAUAUUACAUCUUUAUUUCCUAUCUUGCAUCAAAAGAGAGAAUUCACGAGCAAACUGCAUAUACAACUUAUUUUCAUUCAUCAUUUUAUUAUUUAUUUUACUUUUUUCCUUUUUUUUUUUCUGCAAAAGAAAUUCAUUCGAGAUUGAUUCAUUAUGGUUUAUUUUGAAUUUGACUAUGGUUUAUUAGGGUUGCAACCAUGUCUCCCAACACAUACGCCACUAAGGUUUGAGUUUUUGUUUUGCAGAUUUUGGUCCAAUAAUGUGACCCGCACAGUACUUAUAACUGCUUUAUGGUCGUUUAUUUUCCUAAGGUGUAAGCAUUUUGACAUUGGUUGAGAUAAAAGGGAAAAUAAACAUCUAUGUUCUAAGUGCACCUAUUUGACCGUUGGAACCA